rnacentral:rRNA from 1 species
GACGAACGCUGGCGGCGUGCUUAACACAUGCAAGUCGAACGGAGAGGCCCUGCUUUUGUGGGGUGCUCGAGUGGCGAACGGGUGAGUAACACGUGAGUAACCUGCCCUUGACUUUGGGAUAACUUCAGGAAACUGGGGCUAAUACCGGAUAGGAGCUCCUGCUGCAUGGUGGGGGUUGGAAAGUUUCGGCGGUUGGGGAUGGACUCGCGGCUUAUCAGCUUGUUGGUGGGGUAGUGGCUUACCAAGGCUUUGACGGGUAGCCGGCCUGAGAGGGUGACCGGCCACAUUGGGACUGAGAUACGGCCCAGACUCCUACGGGAGGCAGCAGUGGGGAAUAUUGCACAAUGGGCGGAAGCCUGAUGCAGCAACGCCGCGUGCGGGAUGACGGCCUUCGGGUUGUAAACCGCUUUCGCCUGUGACGAAGCGCGAGUGACGGUAAUGGGUAAAGAAGCACCGGCUAACUACGUG